rnacentral:lncRNA from 10 species
CACCCCCUCUCCUCCUCUCCCCACCCUCAUUGAGCCAAGGGCACUUCCACGGGUCUAUGAGCUUUACUGCCCAGUGGUUGAUGCUUAAUUCAGCCACUAGGGAGGGCUGGCCAUGGGGGUUGAGGGGCCGUGGAGAACAGCGACAGAGGUGGAUUUCACCUGAAUGACGGCAGCGGCCGGCCACAUGGCUGUGACUCAGGUCCAGUUUCUCCCUCUCCACCUCUUGCCUUGGAUAAAGUCCAUGUAGGUGACACCAGAGUGCUGACCUGGCUGCCAUUUGAAGGCGCUGUGACCUGUGAUGAGCCACUCAAACCUGGAAGGUUAUCAGCAGGGAGCCCGUGGCAGCGUUCACCCCAUGUGACCAAUGAGGAAUCUGAAGACCAGAAAGGGCCUGCCCUGAAAGGGAAUGGAACCCUGACGCAGGCCACAGCGCAGAAGGACCUUGAAAACACGGCGCUAAGUGAGAAAAGCCGGACGCAAAGCACUACAUCCCCUAUGAGUCCAUUCAAAGGAAAUGUCCAGAACAGGCAAAUCUGUAGAGACAAAGCAGACAGAGACUGCUCAGGGCUAGAGGGAAUGGGGGGAUAGGGGAUGAUUGCUGAAGGGUAUGGGGUUUCUUUUUUGAGGUGAUGAAAAUGUUCCAAAAUGGACAGUGGUGACAGUUACACAACUCUGGGAAUACACUAAGAAGUGUUGAGUUCUACACUUCAAAUAGUUGCAUUGUGUGGAACGUGGAUUGUAUCUCAAUAAAGUCUUUUUAAAAAGAAAGAUAGGCCGGGCGCAGUGGCUCAC